rnacentral:rRNA from 1 species
UGGCUCAGAUUGAACGCUGGCGGCAGGCUUAACACAUGCAAGUCGAGCGGUAGCACAGGGGAGCUUGCUCCCCGGGUGACGAGCGGCGGACGGGUGAGUAAUGUCUGGGAAACUGCCUGAUGGAGGGGGAUAACUACUGGAAACGGUAGCUAAUACCGCAUAACGUCGCAAGACCAAAGAGGGGGACCUUCGGGCCUCUUGCCAUCAGAUGUGCCCAGAUGGGAUUAGCUAGUAGGUGGGGUAAUGGCUCACCUAGGCGACGAUCCCUAGCUGGUCUGAGAGGAUGACCAGCCACACUGGAACUGAGACACGGUCCAGACUCCUACGGGAGGCAGCAGUGGGGAAUAUUGCACAAUGGGCGCAAGCCUGAUGCAGCCAUGCCGCGUGUGUGAAGAAGGCCUUCGGGUUGUAAAGCACUUUCAGCGAGGAGGAAGGUGGUGAGCUUAAUACGCUCAUCAAUUGACGUUACUCGCAGAAGAAGCACCGGCUAACUCCGUGCCAGCAGCCGCGGU